CUACGGGUGGCAGCAGUGGGGAAUAUUGCACAAUGGGCGCAAGCCUGAUGCAGCCAUGCCGCGUGUAUGAAGAAGGCCUUCGGGUUGUAAAGUACUUUCAGCGGGGAGGAAGGGAGUAAAGUUAAUACCUUUGCUCAUUGACGUUACCCGCAGAAGAAGCACCGGCUAACUCCGUGCCAGCAGCCGCGGUAAUACGGAGGGUGCAAGCGUUAAUCGGAAUUACUGGGCGUAAAGCGCACGCAGGCGGUUUGUUAAGUCAGAUGUGAAAUCCCCGGGCUCAACCUGGGAACUGCAUCUGAUACUGGCAAGCUUGAGUCUCGUAGAGGGGGGUAGAAUUCCAGGUGUAGCGGUGAAAUGUGUAGAGAUCUGGAGGAAUACCGGUGGCGAAGGCGGCCCCCUGGACGAAGACUGACGCUCAGGUGCGAAAGCGUGGGGAGCAAACAGGAUUAGAUACCCCCGUAGUC
rnacentral:rRNA from 1 species